rnacentral:sRNA from 1 species
UGAUCGGGACUCCCGACGUUUGGAAGC